CUCCCCUUCCACCAUCCAUUCCUCUACACAGGUUCUCUUGGGUGGCUAUCAAGAGAUUGUCACUAACUUCAUCUCUUUUGUAGAAUUCUGCUGUUUCCCAGAUUUGUGUUCUGCGGAUUUCCUAAUGACCCAAUUUCUGCCAGUGUUGGUUUCUAGAGGAGAAUGGGUGAAGACUUAUUGACAGGCACGUCUGGAAAAGCUUCUGUUGCUGCUGCUUACUAUGACUGAUUUUGAAAGAAGGAACUUCAAUCUUAAGGGCUGUCAGUUUGGCACCUAUAACGAGCAUAAUAUUCAUUUCAAAAGGAAAACUACCAAAAAAAAUAAAUGACAGGUUAAACUUUGCAUGUCUACAAGCAGAACUGCUGAUCUCCCAAGAUAGUGUUCCCGGCCCACACACCCGUCACACUACCAGGUGCUGUUGCUUCUUUUCUUUUUUUCCCCUAGUAUUCCUCAUUACAUUUCCCUGGCAGAAAUUCCACUGUGGAUGCUAGCAAUAGGCUUGCCUUGAUGCUGCUCAUCACAAUCCCCCGUGACAGCUUAU